rnacentral:rRNA from 1 species
GGSCAAGACCGGUGCCAGCCGCCSGCGGUAACACCGGCAGCUCUAGUGGUAGCCAUUUUUAUUGGGCCUAAAGCGUUCGUAGCCGGUUUGAUAAGUCUCUGGUGAAUUCCUAUAGCUUAACUGUGGGACUUGCUGGAGAUACUAUUAGACUUGAGGUCGGGAGAGGUUAGCGGUACUCCCAGGGUAGGGGUGAAAUCCUGUAAUCCUGGGAGGACCACCUGUGGCGAAGGCGGCUAACUGGAACGAACCUGACGGUGAGGGACGAAAGCCAGGGGCGCGAACCGGAUUAGAUACCCGGGUAGUCCCAGCCGUAAACGAUGCUCGCUAGGUGUCAGGCAUGGCGCGACCGUGUCUGGUGCCGCAGGGAAGCCGUGAAGCGAGCCACCUGGGAAGUACGGCCGCAAGGCUGAAACUUAAAGGAAUUGGCGGGGGAGCAC